rnacentral:misc_RNA from 1 species
GAUGAAGAACGUAGCGAAAUGCGAUACGUAAUGUGAAUUGCAGAAUUCAGUGAAUCAUCGAAUCUUUGAACGCACAUUGCGCCCGCUAGUAUUCUGGCGGGCAUGCCUGUCCGAGCGUCAUUUCAACCCAUCAAGCUUAGCGCUUGUGUUGGAGCCCUGCGGCCGCCGCAGGCCCUGAAAUCCAGUGGCGGGCUCGCCGUAGCACCGAGCGUAGUAGCACACUUCUCGCUCCGGUAGCAGCGGCGGGCGCUUGCCGUAAAACCCCCCCUAAAAUCUCAAGGUUGACCUCGGAUCAGGUAGGAAUACCCGCUGAACUUAAGCAUAUCAAUAAGCGGAGGA